UACGUAGGGUGCAAGCGUUAAUCGGAAUUACUGGGCGUAAAGCGUGCGCAGGCGGUUUUGUAAGUCUGUCGUGAAAAUCCCCGGGCUCAACCUGGGAAUUGCGAUGGAGACUGCAAGGCUAGAAUCUGGCAGAGGGGGGUAGAAUUCCACGUGUAGCAGUGAAAUGCGUAGAGAUGUGGAGGAACACCGAUGGCGAAGGCAGCCCCCUGGGUCAAGAUUGACGCUCAUGCACGAAAGGCGUGGGGAGCAAACGAGGAUUAGAGUACCC
rnacentral:rRNA from 1 species